UUGGGACAGAUCUCUCUUGCUCUGAAUUUUUUUCAGCUGAUGGUAUUUAACUAAUUUUCCGUUAAAGAAAGUAAAGAAGUAGUCUCUGAAACAAAGGAGGAGGAAACAUACGGUUAGUUUGUACGCAGCUUCUAGACUUUGCAGCAAUGAAGGCUGAAACUGUUUAAUUGAAAGGAACCGUUUUUCCCAGGAAAGAAGUUUACCCUGAAAUACAGCUCUGCUCAUGGUUAGGCUAUUUAUUCAGGAGUCUACAGCCUUUUACCCCCUACUCUGUCUCUGUUGUAGAAAGUGCAUCUACUUAUUCAGCUUCUGAAAAGGUGUUUGUACACACUGAGAAGAUUGCCUUGAACCUUCUCUUCUCCAUGCCAAACAGUUCCAGGUCUCUCAGCCUCCCCUUGUGUGAGAAGUGUUCCAUUUCCCUAAGCACAUUUCUAUGAUUAUGUGAAUAAAAUAAUUUUAUAUAAUGUUA